rnacentral:rRNA from 1 species
AAUGAACGCUGGCGGCGCGCCUAAUACAUGCAAGUCGAGCGAGAAGACGUAGCAAUACGUUUGUAAAGCGGCGAACGGGUGAGGAAUACAUGGGUAACCUACCCUCGAGUGGGGAAUAACUAGCCGAAAGGUUAGCUAAUACCGCGUACGCUCCUUGGACUUCGGUUCAGGGAGGAAAGCGAUACCGUGGGUAUCGCGCUCUUGGAUGGGCUCAUGUCCUAUCAGCUUGUUGG